CCCCAAGCUCUCUCUUUCUUUUUCUCACACAUCAACCAUCCUUCCCCACCACCGUGCACCACCACUACCAUCGCCAUUUACCACCACAUCCAUCCACCAUACCACAACCAGCUCCAUCUCAUUCCACCAAUAACCGUCGCUUUCUCCUUCAUCCUAACCCUAACCUUCUGCUUCCGCAAGUGCACUACACGCAAACGCACCGUCCCCUCCUCCAAACCACCUCACAACCUCCCCUACUCCGCCCAAGCGCCGCCACCGCCUCCUUCUCCGGCUCCAACCGUCUCAGCCAAGGCGGCUUCGGCUCUGUCUACCACGGAACCCUAACUAACAACCAAAACGUCGCCGGUUCUCUCCAUGGUCCAUAAAGAGUACGGGUUUGACAAGGGUGAUGUGCUUAAAUCUCCAUAAACACCACCUAAACUUUGGUAAGCCAAUGUCAAAACUGUACUCCAUGACUGUUUCUGUACACAAAAGAUAAGUUUUUCAAAUGGGUGUUUUUAAUUUGUAUUUUGGCAAAUUACAACAUACCCAUCUCACCUUUUGAUGAUUUUGAUGAAUACAAGAUUCCAGAUCCAUUAUAAGUUGCUUCAGAUUAAUAAAAUUUCCUGCUUUAACUGAUGACUCAAUGAAGAAAAGUAAUAAAAUUGGGUGGUAAUUAAUUAAGUAGAAUGCAUUCACUCCGGUAAAAGAAUAUAUACAGAUUAAAAUAUAUAUAUGUACUCUGAUAGAUAAUCUGGGUGCUUAGCACCAAGACUCGAUAAUAACAUCAAUGGAUGGAGAAAAUGUGUUGUUUAAUGUGAGAAAGUGGUAAGAUGGCAGUUGAAGUAUGACGAAAACAAGUGCGAAAUUGGAGCCUAAAAACUGUAUUAUUAUAAUAAUUGGGUGUGACGUUGAGCGGUGGUGGAGGUGGAGAUAGAUGGUGGCGGUGGUGGAGAUUGAUGGUGGUGGAUGUGUUGAUGGAUGGUGGUUGUUAUGUAGAGGAAACACUACGCCAAAAUAGGGCUACGACCACACUUUUGACAAAACCGCCCUGCCACACAUUUGAAAAAAUAUGUGGCGAAAGGUCCUUUAUAACAUUUUAAAACACUUUUAGCCACACAUUUUAUUAUUAAUGUGACCAUUGCACAAUAGUUCAAAACCUUUAGCCACAUUUUUCAAAAAAAAUGUGACAUUGACUUGCCACAACUCUAAAAGUGUGGCGAAAUGUGACCUACCGCCACAAUAUUUGUUUGAUUUUCUAAUUCAUGUGACAGUAACACAUCUUUUUGAAACCUUUAGUCACACUUUCAAUAAAAAAAAUGUGACAAUCACUAGCCAUAUUAGAAAAAUGUGGCUAAAUGUUACUAACCGAUACAAUAGGCUUUUAAUAAUGUGGCUAAAAGAUAAUAAAUAUAGCCACUUAUAAGUUUUUGUGACUAAAAAACAUUUUUUAUUAGUCACUAAUAUCAUUUUAUGUGUAACUAAUUAAAAGUUUUGAAAAAAACGUGACUAAAAGUGAUCUAUUGCCACACUUUAAGUAAUUUACGUGACCAUCCAUUUUCACUCUUUUAUCUCCAUUUCUUCCAUCCCCACCAAGCAAAAACCAUAAUCCCCAAUUACCAUUUUCACCCAAAAUUCGACAUAAUAAACCAUCUAUUGGAGGUCGUUUCGAGGUGUCGGAAUGGUGGUAAUAUGGUUGUUGAUGUUUCUUAUGGUGGUGAUAGUUUGAAUUUGUGCUCUCAGAGAGUGGGAGGUUUGUGUCUAGGUGGAAUAAUGGUGAUGGUUUUCCGGGUAAACUUACCCCAUUCCACCGGUGCUGCUCCAGUCCACGCUCUCUUCGUGCAAAUUCAAUUUUCAAACUCCAAAACCGUGUUUUAAUCUCUAUCACCACCGGUCGCCGCCGCGUCGCCGCCGUCACACACUCUCUCUACACUCCGGCGACACUAAUCCUCCUCACAUCUCAACAAUGACAUCAACCGACAUUGCAAAUUUCGAUCUCAGGUCCAGCUAUGGCGCGUUUUCGAUAACGCGUUCACGCGGUGGUCCAAAUGGACGCCGUUAACAUUUUCCGAAAGCGUUAACUACUUCACUACUGAUAUGAAAAUCGGAUUCUACGCCGGAGAACACGGCGAUGGUGAGGAGUUUGACGGUGUGUUGGGAACGUUAGCUCACGCGUUUGCACCGCCUAGAGGCUUGUUGCAUCUAGACAGUGACGAAACGUGGAUUGUUGGUGAUAUAUUUGGUUCUGGGUCUGGAACAGGAACAGAAAUGGAUCUGGAAUCAGUGGCGGUGCAUGAGAUCAGGCAUUUGUUAGGGCUAGGACACUUGUCGGUGGAAAAUGCGAUUAUGUUUCUAAUUUCUCAUGAAUUUUACCUGUUUUUCGUGAAUUUGUUUGCUCGAUCUGUAACCGACACAGUCCAGCUAUGGCGCGAGUGAGUAUACAUUUGCUGCCGUGGAUAAUCUGGACCAUUGUAUGAAGUAUUUGAACCAGACGCUAGUCACAUUUGGAUUUCCGGCUUCUCUGGAUUUGUUUGCAACUGAUCUGGUUUCGGUUGCGCGAACUUGCAAUUGCAUAUACUCGUUGUUGCAGCAGAGGCAACGCGAUAUUGAGUUUCGAGAGUCGACUAAUGAUAAGAGGCAACGUAAUCAAGACAUGAGCAUCGCUCUGUUGAAGGAGAUAGCAACCUCUACCCAUCGAUUCAAUCGUCGAAGCAUCGAGACGGCUGCCUCGCUUGCCAUUGUGGCGUUCACGAGUUUGAAAGCUAAAAACCAAGGUGGUAAUGUUUUCGUGUUAUCUUAAACAACUGAAACACAUUUUAUCCCACAGUUAACAAUUUAUUUGACCCGUUCAGGUUAAAAAUGCAGAAGUUGUUAUACAAGAGUGUCGUGAAUACGCUUUAGAUGCAUUAGGAUAACUAUAGUACUAAACUCGAUAUUAUACGCUUUAAUUCCUUCAGCAACUGUUUCAAUAGGCGAAUCUGAUGGUUACUGUUACUUUUUUCGUCCGAUAGCUUUCAUUCUGUUAGUGACCUCAGCUAACUGAAAAAUUAAAACGUCAGGAUGAGGCAAGUGGCUGAUGGUUUGAAUGGGUAAUUUCAUAGGCCGCUCAAAACGUGCAGGGUCGUAUUGAGCUGGCCGCGCCACUACUUGCCCAGGUUUUUUGUAUUUUCUGAAUAUUUAAUGUUGGAACUAUAUUAACGAGAGCUUUAGCACUGAAAUGAUAAUAUUUUUUUUUAAUAGAACGAUUUUGGUCGUAGUGAACAUAUGAGUACAAAUAAGACUCAUUUUGACCUGUUUAGCCCCUGACCCAUUUUGUCUUUGCUUAAAUUAUAUAAUUUACCCACUUCAACAGGUAGAAUACAACCUAGGUUGUUGAUAGCUCGUCAAUAUGUUUUAUUUUACAAUAAUUUAUUAAUUUACAAGUAGGGGUGUAAACGAGCCCGAGCCUGAGCCGAAUCGAACCCUAUUAGUUGAACCCGGUAUGGACACGAACCGUAGGGUUGAAAUCUGUUCGUAACCCAUACUUUCAAACCAGUCAUAACCCUGGUUUCAAACCGGUCAAACCCAAUCCCGAACUGGUUUGGACAAAAACCUGAUUUGACCAUCUUUGAUCCAACCUGAACUGGUUUCAACACCAACCGGUUUGGGCUCAGAAUCGAUUUCUGCAUGACUGCACCUGUAGUCAGAGCGCUAUGUUAACUGUGGGGCCACAUUCACUUAUUAGAUGUUGUAACCGGACAAUAUAAACUAAAAACAGUUGCUAUUAUUAUAGUUUUUGAACAAAUGCUCUUCCUUGCGAGUUAAAUCUUGAUUAGUUAUUAAGUUAUUCCAGCUGAAGUUAUGAAGUCCUUGAACAUUCCCAAGGAAGUAAGACGUAAGAGCAUUGAACACUCAUAGGUAAGUAGGUAACCUCCUUUCACUUUUUUAGGCUUUAUUUCAUCAAAAUUUUGUUCUACUUUUAAUUUUUCGGAUCAUUAAUUUAUUAAUUUAUGGCGGCUAAUGUGGAAAAAGGAUAAUAUAAAUGGAUAUCAAGUCAAAAUGAACUUUGUUUAUUACAAGCUGUGGUGUAUUAUGGAGAAUGAAAAUCGAGUAUACAGCCUCAAAAGAGAGCUUGGAAAGUAUGGAGCAUCUAAUUUCUUCAAUUCGUAGACUUCUUCUAUCGCUUGUUAAGGUGAAAGAAUAGGUUCCAGCUGAAGAUACGCUCACACUUGCUGGCAGGAAAUCAUAAAUUAAAGAGAAUGUUGUUACAGAAGCAAAACUUCUAAAGAAUGCACUCGGUAGCACGCUUCCUAUAAGCAUACUUCAUAUGAAACUUCAAUUCUCAUAUUUGGUCUUGUAGUCGCUUUUAUAAUUGAAAAUGAGAUUUAUAUGGGAAGAUGGGGAAUCUUUUCGACCCGAAUUGUUUCGACACGAACCGUUUCAACCCGUACAGUUCCCACACGAACUGCUUUAACGGAUCAAAAUAAGUAAAUCAUUUGUGAAAAAAGCAUCAUGGCUUAACGUAGAACAGAAAACGCAACAGCCGCGGCUGUUGACUUCUGGUGAGGCGGCUAAAAAGCGAGUCUGAAGCGGCAUUACUAACUGAAGUGUACGAGCAGCAUAGCGCCUUAAGGUGAGGCGGCUAAAAAGCGAGUCUGACGCGGCAUUACUAACUGAAGUGUAAGAGCAGUAUAGCGCCUUAAGGCGAGGCGGCUAAAAAGCGAGUCUUUUACCAUCCCUUGUUUCUGCACAUGCAAAAAAAUAUAUUAAUAAAGUAAAAUAGGGAUGUCUAUAUUUUA